CAAAAAUCGGACAUGACGGUCGUGGUUCUGGAUUUUUUUGGGAAGGCCACAUGCAUGGUGUUUAAGCCGCCGUUAAAUUAUAGAUGAAAGACAAGAUUUUCCUCCGUCACGGCCUGAGAAGUUUGA